CCUACGGGAGGCAGCAGUGGGGAAUAUUGCGCAAUGGGCGAAAGCCUGACGCAGCGACGCCGCGUGAGGGAUGAAGGUCUUCGGAUCGUUAACCUCUGUCAGCAGGGAAGAACGGUCACUGUGCUAAUCAGCAGUGAAUUGACGGUACCUGCAAAGGAAGCACCGGCUAACUCCGUGCCAGCAGCCGCGGUAAUACGGAGGGUGCGAGCGUUAAUCGGAAUUACUGGGCGUAAAGCGCGCGUAGGCGGUAUGUCAAGUCAAUGGUGAAAUCCCGGCGCUCAACGUGGGAACUGCCUUUGAAACUGGCAAACUGGAGUGUGUGAGAGGAUAGUGGAAUUCGAGGUGUAGGAGUGAAAUCCGUAGAUAUCUGGAGGAACAUCAGUGGCGAAGGCGACUAUCUGGCACAUAACUGACGCUGAGGAGCGAAAGCGUGGGUAGCAAACAGGAUUAGAUACCCGAGUAGUC
rnacentral:rRNA from 1 species